GGCUGGUCCGAUGGCAGUGGGUCACCAGAAAUUAUUACUGUUAGUUAAACUAACCUUUACUAUAUUCCAUCCCACUGCUUAACCUUGACUGGUCUUUU
rnacentral:Y_RNA from 1 species